CUGGAUUCGCUAGUAAUCGCGCAUCAGCCAUGGCGCGGUGAAUACGUUCCCGGGCCUUGUACACACCGCCCGUCAAGCCAUGAAAGCCGGGGGGUACCUGAAGUACGUAACCGCAAGGAUCGUCCUAGGGUAAAACUGGUAAUUGGGGCUAAGUCGUAACAAGGUAUC
rnacentral:rRNA from 1 species